GUAUUAAAGGUGUUGCCUGCCCAGUGAAACAAUUUCAACGGCCGCGGUAUCCUAACCGUGCAAAGGUAGCGUAAUCACUUGUCUUUUAAAUAAAGACUCGUAUGAAAGGCUAAAUGAAGACGAGCCUGUCUCUUGUAGUUGGCCAGUGAAACUGAUCUCCAAGUACAAAAGCUUGGAUAAUUACAUAAGACGAGAAGACCCUGUGGAGCUUAAAACUAACGCUAUCUCAACAAAUAGUUCAAGUUUUAAGUUGGGGCGACUUCGGAACAAAACAAAACUUCCGAGCACAGAGCCGCUAACUCUAUCCAAGACCAACAAGUCAAAGAACAAUAAUGACCCAGUCAUACUGAACAACGAACCAAGUUACCCCAGGGAUAACAGCGCCAUCUUCUUUAAGAGUCCCUAUCGACAAGAAGGUUUACGACCUCGAUGUUGGAUCAGGACACCCAAAUGGUGCAGCAA
rnacentral:rRNA from 1 species